rnacentral:rRNA from 1 species
AGAGUUUGAUCCUGGCUCAGGAUGAACGCUGGCGGCGUGCUUAACACAUGCAAGUCGAGCGAAGCGCUUUACUUGGAUUUCCUCGGAAUGACGAGUAUUGUGACUGAGCGGCGGACGGGUGAGUAACGCGUGGGUAACCUGCCUCAUACAGGGGGAUAACAGUUAGAAAUGACUGCUAAUACCGCAUAAGACCACAGCACCGCAUGGUGCAGAGGUAAAAACUCCGGUGGUAUGAGGUGGACCCGCGCCUGAUUAGCUGGUUGGUGGGGUAACGGCCUACCAAGGCGACGAUCAGUAGCCGGCCUGAGAGGGCGACCGGCCACAUUGGGACUGAGACACGGCCCAAACUCCUACGGGAGGCAGCAGUGGGGAAUAUUGCACAAUGGGGGAAACCCUGAUGCAGCGACGCCGCGUGAAGGAAGAAGUAUUUCGGUAUGUAAACUUCUAUCAGCAGGGAAGAAAAUGACGGUACCUGACUAAGAAGCCCCGGCUAACUACGUGCCAGCAGCCGCGGUAAUACGUAGGGGGCAAGCGUUAUCCGGAUUUACUGGGUGUAAAGGGAGCGUAGACGGAGAGGCAAGUCUGAUGUGAAAACCCGGGGCUCAACCCCGGGACUGCAUUGGAAACUGUUUUUCUAGAGUGUCGGAGAGGUAAGCGGAAUUCCUAGUGUAGCGGUGAAAUGCGUAGAUAUUAGGAGGAACACCAGUGGCGAAGGCGGCUUACUGGACGAUGACUGACGUUGAGGCUCGAAAGCGUGGGGAGCAAACAGGAUUAGAUACCCUGGUAGUCCACGCCGUAAACGAUGACUACUAGGUGUCGGGUGGCAAAGCCAUUCGGUGCCGCAGCA